GCGCGACAUUUGGUGCCGAAACCCGGGAACUGGCGACCACAAAGGAAAGGUUAGAAGUUUGCUGAAGAGCAACCACAAAGGGACAGCAGCUGUAUGUUCGCAGAUCGUGACUGUAAA